UACGGAGGGGGCUAGCGUUGUUCGGAAUUACUGGGCGUAAAGCGCACGUAGGCGGCUUUGUAAGUUAGAGGUGAAAGCCCGGAGCUCAACUCCGGAAUUGCCUUUAAGACUGCAUCGCUAGAAUUGUGGAGAGGUAAGUGGAAUUCCGAGUGUAGAGGUGAAAUUCGUAGAUAUUCGGAAGAACACCAGUGGCGAAGGCGACUACCUGGCCUGUUCUUGACGCUGAGGCGCGAAAGCUAGGGGAGCAAACGGG
rnacentral:rRNA from 1 species